AACGGUCUAUACCUGCGGUACCUGCGGAGGGAUCAUUACAGAGUUCAUGCCCUCACGGGUAGAUCUCCCACCCUUGAAUACUAUACCUUUGUUGCUUUGGCGGGCCGCUUUGGCUACUGGCUCUGGCUAGUAAGUGCCCGCCAAAGAACCCCAAAACUCUGAAUAUUAGUGUCGUCUGAGUACUAUAUAAUAGUUAAAACUUUCAACAACGGAUCUCU
rnacentral:misc_RNA from 1 species